ensembl:lncRNA
AUGCUACAAGGGGUUCCCUUCAGGGAGGCCAACCCAUCCAUAGACCUGAUGUCCGAUGCUUCGGACCUCGGCUGGGGAGCCCACACGGGGGAUGUGCAAACCCAAGGAACGUGGUUGGCCCCGGACUUGCCCCUUCACAUAAACGUCAAGGAGCUCAGGGUGGUACAGCUAGUGUGCGUGGCUUUCCUCACACACCUCCGAGGUAAGGUGGUCAGAGUCCUCACGGACAACACCGCCGUCAUGUACUAUAUCAACAGGCAAGGCGGGACUCGCUCCCUAGCCCUCUGCCGGGAAGCCCUGAACCUAUGGGAGUUCUGUAUAGCCCAUGAUAUCUCCCUGAGGGUGGCUCACCUCCUGGGCGUCCGCAAUACGCAAGCGGACCGCCUCAGCGGGGUCUUCUCCCCCCAGUACGAGUGGUUGCUCCACUUGGAGGUCGCUCACCAGCUCUUCCAAGAGUGGGGAGCUCCCCAGAUCGACCUGUUUGCAACCCGUCAGUACCAGCAAUGCCCCCGGUUCUGCUCCAGGGGAGGGGUGGGGGAAGAUGCGAUCUCCGACGCGUUCCUCCUGAGCUGGUUGGGCCAGCUCCUUUAUGCCUUUUCCCCCAUUCCCCAUCAUCGCCAAGGUCCUUCAGAAGGUGAAAGUGGACAAGGGGAAAGUCAUUCUCAUAGCCCCGGCGUGGGCCCGCCAGCACUGGUACAGGCCCCUCCUACACCUCUUAGCGGCCCCUCCAAGGGCGCUACCGCUCCACCCAGACCUCCUCUUCCAGGACGGGAGGUGCCUCCUCCAUCCCAAUCUGGCCGCGCUUCACCUGACAGCAUGGCUGCUCCAUGGCUGAAUGAGGAGGAGAAUAGGUGUUCGGAGCAGGUAAGGCGAGUCCUCCUGGAAAGCAGGAAACCAUCCACGCAUCAGACGUACGUGGCGAAGUGGUCCAGGUUCGCCAGGUGGGCGAGUGAGCAGGGAGUGUCCCCCUCCGCCGCACCUCUCCAGUUUAUCCUGGACUACCUCUUAUCCCUUAGGGCCCAGGGACUGGCACCUGCCUCCGUCAGGGUGCACCUGGUGGCCAUAUCGGCUUUUUAUCCGGUCUUCUCCCACUCAGUGACCUCCCGUUUCCUGAAGGGCCUUGACCGUUCGUUCCCAUACUCUAGGCCCCCCCCAUACCACAAUGGGACCUUAACCUGGUCUUCUGGUCUUGUCCCAUCUCACGGGACACACGCCCCCUUUGAAUCCCUGGCCACGUGUUCCUGGUCGCACCUUUCAUGGAAGGUGGCCUUCCUCCUGGCGAUCACGUCAGCCCAACGUGGCUCGGAGCUCAGGGCCUUAACCUCAGAAUCCCCCUAUACGAUUUUCCAUAGGGAUAAAGCCCAGCUCUGCCCACACCCGACGUUCCUCCCGAAGGUGGUCUCCACCUUCCAAAUGGAGCAGAGCAUCUUCCUCCCCGUGCUCUGUCCUAAGCCCCACUCCUCUAACGAGGAGUGCUGUCUACACACGCUCGAUGUGCAUAGGGCGUUGGCUUUUUAUCUGGAUCGGACUAGGCUGUUCUGCAAAUCCUCUCAACUCUUUAUUGCCUCGGCCAAGUGGGCAAAGGGGCAGCCCAUCUCCACCCAGCGGCUUUCCCGCUGGAUCACUUCGUGCAUAUGCACGUGCUAUGAUCUGGCAGGGAUUUCCCCGCCACUGAUCGUCAGGGCACACUCUACGAGGGCUCAGGCCUCAUCAGCUGCCUACGUCACCCAUGUCCCCAUCCAGGACAUUUGUAGGGCGGCCACUUGGGCCUCAGUUCCCACAUUUUACUUCACAUUACGCAAUCGUCUCCCAAUCUAG